CGAAAGGGGUGCUAAUACCGGAUAAGCCCACGGUYUYUUCGGAGAGUGCGGGAAAAGGGGGCCUCYGUAUAUGCUCCUGUCGCUAGAUGAGUCCGCGGCCCAUUAGCUAGUUGGUAGGGUAAUGGCCUACCAAGGCUACGAUGGGUAGCUGGUYUGAGAGGAUGAUCAGCCACACYGGAAMUGAGACACGGUCCAGACUCCUACGGGAGGCAGCAGUGGGGAAUUUUGCGCAAUGGGCGAAAGCCUGACGCAGCAACGCCGCGUGAGUGAUGAAGGCCUUCGGGUCGUAAAGCUCUGUCAGUGGGGAAGAACCGCCGGGUGGCUAAUACCUGCCUGGUCUGACGGUACCCMCAAAGGAAGCACCGGCUAACUCCGUGCCAGCAGCCGCGGKAAUACAAGG
rnacentral:rRNA from 1 species